rnacentral:tRNA from 1 species
GGGCCGUUAGCUCAGUUGGUAGAGCAGCGGACUUUUAAUCCGCGUGUCGUGGGUUCGAAUCCCACACGGCCCA